GUACUGGUUUCGACGGGGGAUAUGCAGCUGGAGAAGCGAGUCGCAUGGUAAUGCGUUAAAUGGCCAAAUUAAAAAUAAACGCUAACGAUAAUUUAGCAUACGCUGCCUAAUGGCGGCAGUCAGCCCUUGAGCACCUACGCUUAAGGAACCUGGCUUCGACUACGUAGGAAACGACACUGUCAAAGCUUUGAGACAGCGGGCGUAAUAUGAAGCUACCAAAACCAUCAGGGCGUUCGCCCCCGGGUGGCAGAGGGAAUGUCAAAGGGCUAACUACACUCGUAGAAGGACAGGGAAUUAUCCUUCGGACAUGGGUUCGACCCCCAUCUAGUCCACU
rnacentral:tmRNA from 1 species